GUGUGUGUGUGUGUGUGUGUGUGUGUGUGUGUGUGUGUAAUAGACUAUACCAUUUCAGAUUGCAGGUGGGGAGUAACACACACACACACACACACACACACACACACAA
rnacentral:miRNA from 1 species